UGGCCGCUCGCGCUGUCGCUCUCGAUCUGUUAUCGCCGCUUCCCGCGCCAUUCGGCGUGCACGCGCAUGCAGGACCAGGCACGUAACCGUUUGGAGACUGUCUGGAGUCUGUCUGAAAUAGAUAAAAUUGAAAAUGGACUUUUAGAUAUCUGUGUUCAUUUACAAGGAAGCCGCCUGUUGGAAAAUGGGAUCUUUGCUCUCCUCCUCGAGCGCCUUCGCCCACCAGUCGCCACGCUCUGGCAAAAAUAUAGAUUUUUUUUCUAGAUAAACGUUGUGAAAGUUUUUUCUUCUGCAGUCUAUCAGGAGACAGCUCUUUAUGCACAGGGAAUCACCCUUCAGCCCUGGAGUUCAAGAGGAGUGCACCAUCCAGGAGGCAGCCUACAAGAGCACAGAAAGGCCUGUCCCUAACCUGAACCAGAGUCUGACAAAAAAUGAUUGGAAAUGCAAUUAGAAAGGAGAGCCUUGGUUUCUUGAAGCCUGUCAUACCUUCAUAUGUUUGACCCUGAAGUGUACCCGCCCAAAUGGUGCUGCAGUGAGUGAAUGCGAUUGCCUGAGGGAAAUAUCAGUCCGCUGCACACCAGCAUUUCCAGAGCUUGAGCUCCUGCCUGCAAUGCCAGUUCUGCAUGAUAUGAUGGACUGGCAGCUUCUUCUUAACAGCUCUAUUGCAAGGCACUCUACAUCCAAACUGCAGUGUGGAAAAUUUAAAGUGCAGGGAGCUAGCUGGUGUACUAGGAGGAAGAUGUCAUGCUAAGGAUGGGUUUUGGUGAUGAUGUUGCUACUGUUGAUGCAGCAUCGAGCUCUCACUUUGUGCCUCUGUCAGCUAUGAUCCGUAACCACAAAGUGAGUGACAGGCCAGUCCCCGGGGAAAGCAAGGGGGCCUGAGGAUUGUCUUAUACGUCACCAGCGCUCAGUACUAUGGAGUACUACAAAAGGUGACGCGCAGAAGGAGGAUUUGUGAAUGGACGCCGUGAUGUGUGCCAGCUCACAGAUCAGAGGGCGGUGGGACCUCUGCAGAUGCACCCCCUCCAUCACACCACCCCUCCCUCCAGAUGAAUGGGGGUCUCUAAUAUCAGCUCUGUCACCAUUGCAGGGGUCUAACCAAAUCCUCCAGCUUCCUGUGCCUUUCAAAACCUAAAAGCACCUCUCUUCUAUUUGAUGAUCCUGUAUGAUUUUUUUCUUUCUUUUUUCUCUUUUCUUUUUUUAUUGUCGUGUUUUUGUGGGCCUUGAAGCUCGCUGCCCACUCUUUUAUUAUGGGCCAAGAGCAUGGCAGCCGAAUUAGACUAGAUUAGAAAGCUGGCCGAACUGCAUUUAGUGGGUAAUACAAAAAGUCAAUCUGUUUUAGAAGUGUGGUUCAUCGGAAUAUAAAAUAGGUUAAAUGGAGGGACUUGACACCAGUAUCUAUUUUUUCAUUGUUUCCCCGGAAUUUUCCAGAAUCUUCGCAGUGUUUCAGAUAUAACCAGAACAGGAUAAAUCCCAAAGAAAAGAAUGAGUAACAAAAGCAGUUUUUUGGCAUCUGACAUCGAUGCAUGGAUAUAAUUGUAGUAAUAGUCUUUACAAAACUGCCUUCUUGGGCUGAAAUACUGUAGGUGUUCCUCCAAGUUUAUAUUGUUAGAUUUUAAAGCAAAAUCAUGCUCAGGUGGUGUUUCUCUAAAUCCGUUUGAUUAAUUUUAUUCUCCUUUUUUUCCAGUGGAAAAAGCGCAGUAUAUAAUUUCCACAGCUGCUUAUUCAUCACAGGCUCUAUGUAGAUGAUGUCUAUAUAAUUUUUUUCCCGUGGUUUGAUUGUGUUUACAGAGAAAUCCUCUGGAGUCGCCACGUAGCGGACUUUGGGGCUGCUGAAUCUUCUGGUUUCAGCCCUUUAUAGGUUUUAAUAACUCUUAAUCCGUCUGAUCAGUCUGGCGUAGAUAAGUCUCAUUUGAAUUUGGAUUGUUCUUAAGAGGCGGGUCGUAUUUCUCCACAGAAGUCUACAGAGCUUAGCACAAACAACCGCACCACCCUGAGCGCAAUUAAGGCUUCAGCUAAAUUAGAUGAAGGCUAAUUGAAUGCAGCUGACUUCCCAUCAGCAAACUCUGGAAUUAAUACAAUGAAUAAUACCAGUUGAUGGUCACUGAUUAUUAUUGUUAUUAUUUUAUCUGUAUUUUGGGGGUAAAAAGUCAAAAAGUGCAUUUUCUUUUAGACACAAAGCAGCAACACUCCAAUCUUUAUUUGCAUCAUUUUAGAGAGGAAAAAUAGGCAAAACUUUUCUUCUUUUCAAGUUUUCUCUUUGCGCAUAAGAGACAGAUUUGGAGAACUUCCUGUAGCUGUGGUGCAUACUGUGUGGGUUGCAGACAUAGAAAACUUAUAUCUUUGACAAAUCUAAUUUCUGUUCUUGCCAAUCAGUGCCACUCUGGAUUGUUUUGCAACUAUUUAACUGUUUUCUGAGCGGAGGGGGAAAAGAAAACUGCAUAUGCUUACUGUGAUCCAAAGUUGUUGUUUUUUUUACAAGAGAGAAAAAUAACAUAAUUCUGAUCCGGAGAUUAAGGUUUAAAGGAGAAAAUUGGAUUUUAAAAUAUAAAUUUAAGGACAACCAAAAUCUAUAGCGAACAGAACAACCAUCUCUAAGAAUGAAACUCUAAAAAAAUAAUGCAACAGAUAUAUAAAGUACACCAACAGGAAUAAAAGUUUGAACAGAAAAACCUUUCCUUACAGCGGCUGCAAGAAAAAAAAUAUUCCUCAUGCAUUAAAAAAAAGCAUUGUCCACCUUCUUUCUUCUAUUUUGAAAUAACUCAGAGACACUCUUAAUGACCCAUAGUGCCUCAUUAACAGGCAUAAAAGAUUUUUAAAAAAGGUUAAAGUGGAAAAAAAACUUCAGGAUGCACGCAACUCUCGCUUUGUAUCCCGUUAAAGAUCAGAAUUUCCUUUUUCUAGUGUGCUUUUGUACUUAUAUUCGCAUCAGAAAAUAACACUGUAAAGAUCCUCAUAUCUUUAAUAAUAACUGGCUAUUUUUCACAGAGUGUAAAAGCCUCUAAGGCUCCGCUCUGUAAUCCUGUAGGUACAUAAAGCGCACAGUUAUCUGCGUGACGCUCAACUGGUGUCAGGCCCACAGAGCUCCUCUCCUACUGUAGUUUUGUGGCUGGUCUGCGGGACUUUUCACGUGUCGGGACGUCUUACUUCGGACAGCAAAGAAUGAACUGCACGUGGUGGCUAUUUCUGUAAGGUUAAUGGGUUUACAUUCUCAGUCAUACAGAACAAAUAGGCUAUGGUGUGGGUGGGGGUGGACAGGUUCAGUUUGAGAGGGACCAGAGGGGGGGCAUUUAUGAAUGAAAAUGUGCCGCCAAACAGACCUCAAAGCAAAGCCAGUGUAAUGUAAAAAAGAAGAAGAAGAAAGUAGUGUGCACCUUAUGUUCAAUCAGCUCAGCUCGCUGGCCCCUAAAGUUUUUUGGGGUCCUUGAUUCUCCUGUGUGGGUCAUUCGGGAAGCUUUGCGGUUUUUGGAUUGUCCGCAUGCCUCGUGCACCUGUCUGUCGCGGGGAAGCAAGGAACAAGUGGGACAAAGACAGGUGGAAAUCACUUGCUGAAACUCAUAUUUGUUCUUUCUCGUUAUAUAAGUUAAUUAGGUUUUAUUAGAAGAACUUCGAGUCCGCAGGAAGUGCAGUUAAACGUGUGAUCGUUUAACUGCAGAACCAAAUCUGUUAGUUUUAUUUUCUUCAAACCAACGAAUAGCAGAAAUUCCUCUAAAAUUAUGACAAAAACAUCUAUACGUAUAUAUUUAAAAAAAAUAGUACAAAUCUUAUUCGUGUUCAUGUUAAGCUGAAAGUAGUUUUACCCCAGCCAGUUCGGAUUUUGCGUUCGGGCAGUUACAAACACCAAACCCACAAGUUAGAUGUAAUCAUAUCGCCACACAGAGAUUUUAAAGUUACACAUUUAGUGCGAGUGGUAAAUGCUAAGGGAUUAAAUCAAGCAUCGGCAUCAGUGCUUCUUCAUUUGUUCAUACCGAGGCUCUUUCUAAUUGCGAGAUACAAUUUAAGUUAUGUCCCCGCGUCCAGCAACUUUAAUUAUAGUGGAAAGAGGUCAGUCAUAAGGGGAUAUUUGACCCGGCUCCUUGUGUGGCAUCGCGCCCUUUACCGUUAAAGUCGCCAAAAUAGUUCUGGACUCCCCUGGAUUUACCAUGUGCACCCAGUCCCACCCAGUGCACCUGAGUUGUUUUUACCCCCCAGUAACUUAUAUGCUGUGAAUUUGUCACCUACCAGGAGAGGAGCUCGUCAAAGGACAUUUUAGGCGCAAGAACUUUCCCAGAUGGUUUUAGCCUGCCAACUUUGUGCAUUUCUCCGGAGCGAAGUGGAUAGACUGCAAUCCUGUUGCUUGAAUUAUGCUUACGCGUACUAAUGAAGACUAAUUAAAACAUGACAAACAUCGACCUUUAGUGCAUUCUAAGUAGGGCUGCAAGCAUGUCUUAGAUUACUGGUAUAUGCAAAUGAAGUCUGUUAGCCUAUUUGACAAUAUACACACGGGCGACAUGCAGUAAGACAUAAGCAGACUGUCCACAUUAGUUGUGCCUAAAUCUGUGUGAUCUCUUUGUAAAAUCACGCAAACGUAAGGGCUUAUAUAUAUAUAUAUAUAUAUAUAUAUAUGUUUUUAAUAUUGUAAUAUUUUAAACGUGCUUCAUUGAUACAGCUAAUGGCCACAACCAGCUAAUCUUCUUGAAUCUUAAAUCCACAUUUUAUUUUUAAAAGAAUCUCCUACUAUUUAAUUCUUUUUUCUUUCUUUUUCUUUCAGAAAACUAAAGAAUACACACAGAUAUUGACCUGUGGUGUAAAUUUUAGCCUUCUCUCUGUUUGUGAGAUGUUGUUGUCUGCCUCCCAGGAUAGAUCUCGCAAUGGAAAUGCUCACCUUGAUUUAUUCCAUUACCUUUUAUUCAGCUGUUAUUAUUAUUAUUAUUACCCUGGUCGAUUUACAGAGUCUGAUCUGGGCGCUGGGAUGCACUGGGUGUGUUUAAUUUACACUGGGAAGGAUUUGUUUGGAUGGCAUGCAUAAUGUGCCAUCACCUGAGGUUUAUGCUGUCAUUUUAUUAUUGUCCUGCGGUGGAAGAAGAGGAAUCAACUGGAAUGGCACACAAGGCUGAGCAUGUUGACUGAACUGAUAAAUCUCAUACGACACGAGCACUUCUAAUGAUGAUUCUGUAUCAGUCUGUUUAAUGUUUUUAACGUUCAUACUUUUAUUUGUUUGGGGGUUUUUCCCCCCGUGAUUUUACCCAGAGCACUGGAGGAACUGCGACCAAAAAGAGAAUCACAGCCACUUAAAGGGAGAAAAGGUGUGAAUGGAUCAUUUCACCCUCAGACAGGAAUACGCAGAGAAGGCAGAGAGCAGCCCGAGACUGCCAUUUGAAUGGAUCUGAGAGGUAAUUUGAGCUAAAAUGGAGUCCACUUCUGAGCCACUCACUCAGCCCCCCCAUGGCAUCCACUGUAAUUCAUUAUUCCUGGCCGGCACUGGGAGAGGCAAUGAGCGAGGGCAGAGGACAGGAGUGGACCCCGCUCUGGUGUAAUGAAGACUCAGUAGACCUAAACGAGUCUCGCACACACACUCGCACACGCACUUGCACACACAAAAUCUUUCAUUAUAUUUCAGAGAGAGCAGGACAUUAAUGCCACUGAAGACCUUUUGGCAGAGAAAAAAAAGUGCAAUGAUUUUCUCCACACUCAAUCCAUUUCAUUGACCUUUUCUAUCAUGCAUGUGACUCUGCCCGCUCACUGCACUGUGAGAUAAAUAUUCCAAGGAUAAUAUUCCUCUGCUGUUUUAAUAAAUUAUCUUUCUGAAUCCAAAGUUUUAAGAGGCUUUGAGGAGAAUAUGAGCGUAUUUGUAAUUACUUUUACUUUUAAUUGCCUUUAUUUUUCUUCAUGUGCUGUGUUUUCUUGCUUUCUCAGAUCGCAACACUCCGGUUGUUCUUUGUUCGAAAGCCUCUGAAGUCUUGUUUUUUCUACAUUUCCAUACAAGUAGUUAGGUGAAAACCUCUACAUAGAUGAGGCCCUUCCAGACCUUCCUGUUCCUUGUCCUUCCACUAGGGGUCUAUAGAUGUCCUGUCCAGACAAGCUGAGAGGAUAAAUACUGUCAUCUGGUGGUAACAAAAGCCAUCACUACUGGGUAAUCUGGUACUAUACUGCAUGUUUUCUUUCCCCAGAAUAUAUGCAUCGUAAUAUCUUUAUCCACUACCACACCACAGCUCAGUACUUUACAGUACAUUUUUUACACGUUUUUUUAAACAACAAAACUAAUAAAGUAGUCAAGAUUUGUCUUUGUCCUGGAUGAAACAAACAGAAGUUUAGCGCCACAGGUGGAGCAUGAAAUAAAGCAAACAGUGCCUGUGUAACAGCAGCUGACAGAUUUUAAAUGUGUGUGACAGCCCAGGUGAGAUGACAGGCGCUCCCCCAGACAGGUUUACCACAGAGACGUGUGUUCAAAGCGAGGCAGGCCACCGGCGUUCAGUGAAGACAAAGUCAGAAGUUAUAGAGGAGACGAGAAGUUCAGCAUUCAGAUGUUUAGAUAGGAAAAGAAAGUAUAAAUGUGAAAGUAGCUGAUGGUUUCAUUACACUUUUUAGAUUGCAGAUGCAGAUGCAUUAGAGUAAGACUAGUUUUUCUACUAAGACAAAUCUGAAUGCUUGCAAGACUGGGGUAAGAAAGUGGUGAAAAUAAAGUUUACUACAAAUUAUGCACCGAGUUAUGAACAUUUUGUUUCUUGUUAAGUUUGAACACCUGUUGAAGUGAAAAGAUUUCAAAAUUUCUAAAGGAAACAUUUAUUUUGAUGGGCAGAUCUGCUGAAAAUGGUCACAAUCCCAUAAGAUUAGUACCUGUUGGUUUAAUGGUUUUUAAUGUAUUUUAUAAUUAUGCCUUACAUGCACCAUUGUGAUAUGUAAAGUCUCCAGCUGUACACAUAUAUAAAUACACAUAUUUAAAAUAAUAAUUUGGUCAAAUUUAGCCUAUUUGGAUACAAAUAGAGCUGUAAAAAUUGUAAACAUCUUCUAAUGAUAUUGUAAAUGCCAUCCUGUUUGCAAACUGUUCAAUGGUGUAUUCCUGAACUGCAAUACAGUGAAAGGAACAAAUCCAAAUCUGAAAUAUAAUCGAGAUGAGGUGUAAAGUAGCACAAAAUAGUCAUACUCACUGCCUUCUACACUUUUGAGGGGCAGUAAACGAAAGAGAGCAAAUCUAAAGAAGCAGUUUAGUAUAGGAUUGCAUCUUCUUUCUCAGUACACAUCUGAACACCACCGUUUCUUCCUUGAAAAAUUUAGUUUUUAAAAUAUUGCCUCAUCACAAAAAAACUCUCAAAGGCAAAUAUAUUCAAAAGUGCCAACACCACUAGAGUUGCUCUGAAUUCCUGAAGCCUUUUUCUUCUAGUUCGAGCUGCUUUUUUAGCUCCUAAGAACUCAGAAAAGUGAGAAACUAAGAAAUACUAUAAAAUUACAGAACCACACAGUGCAGCAAAGAACUAUUAUUAUUAUUACAUUACAUACAUAUUGGCCUUAAACUCUGCUGUAUCAUACUGUUGUAUUUUAAUGGCAAUACCACCGGUGUGUUACAUGAGCAAAACUCAUACUCGUACUUCAUCCAUCAUGGCAACUUAUUCUGGAAAGCUGCACUAAUCAUUUUCCACUUUAUUUUGGAGUCUCUCUCAUUUUCUUUGGCUAGUUUAAAACAAAUAUAUAUCUGUACAGUGUAUUUUUUUUAUAUAUAUAUGAAUAUACCUUCUUGUCUUGUUCUUUCUGCUGCUAUGUUUUCCUUCUAGGAUCAAUAAAGCUGUUUUUUUAAAUCUGAUUUUAUCCAUCUUGUAUACCGUGAUCUGUACUAAACAGACACAGUAAGUGAGACUCUCAUUUCAAGAGACACAAAAUUGCAAAGAGAAUGAAGUUAAAUACAAAGUAAACAAGUUCAAUUUGCCAUACUCCAGUGUAGAGUUGUAAAUCUUUGUCUUCAUGUUUGCUGGCAGUAGACUCGCUGCACGAAAUGCGAGGCCAAGUAACACAAAUUUCAAAGUCACAAAAGUGCUGCAAAGAGAUGAUAGCAGUCUGCCGGAGCAAACCUAUAGGUGCUGUGAAUCAAUAUAUCUGAUGUGCCCUCGCUUGUCUUCUUGCCUGGAAGGAAGGAUAGAGAGACGGAGAGAUGGGGGGGGGGCUUUUGGCAAUGAGGGGGGUUCUCUAAUGGAGUCUUUCAGUUUGCUGUGGCUGGAAAUGAAAGGAGGUUGAAGCCUGGCCAAUUAUUCUGCCUGAGAAGAGUAGGAGACUGAAAGAGGAGGGAGAGGAAAGAGAUGGCGUGUGGCGCCGUUGCCCUGUUAGAGGAUGGGUAGAUGGAUGGAUGGAUAGAUGGGAUAGAAGGAUGGAUGGAAAACAAAAACAGAUGCAUGCAAGUAUAGAGGGACUUCCAGAACGAGGGAUUGAUUCAGAAUAGCCCACAGCCAUUGGCCCCGCUCCCAGAAAUUUCCCCCAGUGCAAAAGGUUAACUGUCAGUCCCCCGCUAGGUAUAAAUAGAAGUCUGCCCUCCAGAAAGGCGUGUUCAGAGAGGGGGUAGACAGAGGAGGGGAGGGAGGGCAGUUCCUCAUGAUCCCAGUGACACACAGCAGAGGGGGGUAGUUUCAGGGUUUUUUGGUGGGUUGCAGAGGGUCUUACAGAGAAGAGGAAGGAGAGGGAAGAUGCAGCCAAAGACAGUACAAAGGAAGGGACAAAAGAGUGUCCUCAUCUAUUCAACAUGACCGUGACAGCAGACACAACAAAUGCCAUCAUCAGCACCCCAGAAAGCUUCAUUCCAAUUAAGCUGCAGCUGCAUUUGACAACCAAAUAAAAUCUGCGGGCUAGUGUCUUACUGGAGCUGCAGAGAUGUGUAAUUAGGCAAGUGUCUAGUAAUCAGUUUAAUUAUGAAUGAUGGUAUCAGGUUCAUAUCACCACAGGGGAAGCUACAGUGUGUUAUUUUCAACCAGAUAUCAAACACAUCAUAGCAGUCACAAAGUCCCUCCAGUCCCCCAUGUGAGUAACACAAUAAAAGAAAUCACAAAGACGUUUUUGUCAGGUGUUUUUAUUUUUCACUUAAAUCCAAAGUAGCAAAAACGAUACACAGCUGAAAUAUCAGACGCACGCACGCACACACACGGAAACUCUAAAACAUUGAGACAAAAGGUGCUUCACCACCUCAAAACAUAAAGCUUCCUCUUCAGUUUUAGCACACCUGAAUGCACGCAGAUUCGACCUGAAGUGAUCUGCCACAAAAAAGGAUUUAAAAAAAUAAAUCAGGUUUCCUUCAGUAAUGCUACUAAAUGAGAUUUUUUAAAACAACAGUUUGACACAAUAUAUUUUUUUAUGCUGUCUCUCUGGUGAGAGUCAUUGGUAUUGACUCUGAAGGCAUGUAAUCUCUGACAAAAGCAUUGUUGUUUACAAAAAAACAAAAGAAAGAGAGGAUAUUAUUGCUGUUUUGAAUGAUCCACACUGCAUAUACUUUAAAGUUACAAAUAUUUUUUUUUUAGCAGUUGUCAGAAAUAAUAAAUAAGGAAGAAUAAUCGGCUCAUGUAUGGUCUGAUUGCACUUAAUCCUCUAGACCCCCAAACACUAACAUACUGUAGGUCUAGUAUGGUAAUAAUACCUGUCUGAUUACACAAGCAAGCCAUUAUACACACAAGCAGUAA